rnacentral:rRNA from 1 species
GGGGAAUAUUGCACAAUGGGGGAAACCCUGAUGCAGCGACGCCGCGUGGAGGAAGAAGGUCUUCGGAUUGUAAACUCCUGUCCCAGGGGACGAUAAUGACGGUACCCUGGGAGGAAGCACCGGCUAACUACGUGCCAGCAGCCGCGGUAAAACGUAGGGUGCAAGCGUUGUCCGGAAUUACUGGGUGUAAAGGGAGCGCAGGCGGAUUGGUAAGUUGGGAGUGAAAACUAUGGGCUCAACCCAUAAAUUGCUUUCAAAACUACCAGUCUUGAGUGGUGUAGAGGUAGGCGGAAUUCCCGGUGUAGCGGUGGAAUGCGUAGAUAUCGGGAGGAACACCAGUGGCGAAGGCGGCCUACUGGGCACUAACUGACGCUGAGGCUCGAAAGCAUGGGUAGCAAAC